CGAAAACAUUAAGACGUCUCGUCGUCGUGUCGUUUACGUUCAUCGAUGCGAAAUAUUACCUAACCUAACCUAUAAAUCCCAUGAAAAUAUUACAUAUGACGUACAUCAUAAUAAUAUUAUACUUAACAGAGUGUCGUAUAGUGUGCUCUUAACGACGAGUGGAAAUUUCGCCGGGAGCACGCAUAUGUAUAGUGUUGAAAGGCUCACAUGGCCGUGCGCACACACGGUGUCGUUGGCGGAACAGAUUUCCAAAAUUUACGCCGACGUAAACAAAUUAACCCGCGAAGACGAAAAUAACAGAUGGCCAAGUGCGCGAGACCAUUACGAGAGGAGCUGCAUAGAAAGAGAAAGAGUGCAUUAUAAUAAUAAUAAUAAUAUAUUGUCCUACGCACCGGCAGCCACUAAAAAAAAAAAAAAAAAAAAAAAAAAAAAAAUAGAAGAUAAAAUAAGGUUGUUAUGUGUGUGUUCUAUACAUCAUUAUUAUACAGGAGUCCUCGCUGUCACCAAGUUUCAGAUUGGUGUUUCUCACGGU